AAACCAUGAUGUAGGUAGAGCCUCAUCAUGUCCUUAUAUCUCUCUCAGGCCUCAAAAAAGGAUUCACCGUCGGUUUGUCUAAAACACGUUAUCUAGUUUCUUAACAC